CUCCAGGCACCCACGCCCGUACUCGUGGCACAGCAAAGCUGCCCUGCACCCCCACCCUACCCCCCGCUGCCAGGAACAGCUGUGCAAGCUGGCCACUGCACAGAGUGUCGCUUCCACAUGCAGACACCACAGCCCUCCACCAGUGGUUUCAAGCAGGCAACCAGAAGGAACGCAGAAGAAGAAGAAAAAAAUCUCAGCUGGUUUGUGCUUUUCUCCAACACUCGCUAAUGACACACUGAGUCAUGUCAGGAGCAAGCAGGCUGGUGUCAGGGGAGCUGACCUGCUGCUGAGGCUUAACACUCAGUAUUUGAUCUCUUCAUGGGGCUACUUUCUGUCUACGAUGCACCAGACUGAGUUUCUUCUUUGCCAGAAUACUAUAAUAAAGGUUUAUUUACCAA